GCAGCUCACCACUCUUCCUGCCAGGACAGCUCUGUUUCAGAGGCGUACCCUUCUGUCUGUAAGCAGCGGGGUGGAAUGGUCGCGGAGAAGUGGUGUGAGACAAGACUAUGCCCUGAACACAGGGCACUUACGCUCCGGUGGCGAAAAGCUCACGUUUCGCUGGAAGUAGGACCCACGGCAGAAACAACAGGACUCACAGGAUUGGCGCACGGAAAACAAAACAAAACACCUGUUCCGCCCAAAAUAGUUCUCUCAAGAAGCGUGAAAUACAAGUUCUGAGCGAUCAGAGAGCAGCUUGGGUCAUAUCUGAAUGGGGAGCGUGUUUCUCUUUCUUUCUGUUUCUCACCGAAUUGCGCGUCUUGCUGUCCGCGAGGUCUCACAGUCGGCUCUUGUGACUCCACCGAGUAGAGUGUCAGAGCUUCACCCACGGACCUUAGGAACCGAGGACGGGCAUCUGUGUGGCUUGGCUUGGGAAUCAGAGAGUCAUGGCUGUUCGGAGAUAAACUACAGAAUCUUGGAGAAUCGUGGGAGUUGGGAACCAUGGAAUGCCAGCGUCAGAGUCUUGGGCCUGCUCGAACAGUCAAGCUGCCCUCGUAGGGACGGGCAGAAUGAGUCCCAGGGAAUGGAAGCAUUUUGCCCAACACUGCAGCUUCUAGCAGUGAGACAGGGCAAACACCCGCAUCUACAGAUUCCUGCCCCGGAAUCUUCUAGUCCAAGACAAGAGAGCCUGUCUUCUAAUAGAAGAUGCUGGUCACAUUAGAGGGUGGAGGCGGGGAGACUGAGGAUGGGAGGGAGUGGGAGGGCACGCCUCAGAGGGCAAUGACCUUCGGAGUCAGGUGGUGCCUCAACUUUGAAGCUCAGCAAAACCACAGAGUGGGGUUUCAGGAGGCCCCACCCUUCUUUCCAGCUUCAUCUCCUGCCACAUUCAGCAACUUCUUUCCACCCACCCACCCCCCUCUCCCUCCCCGCUUCUGCCCACACAGCCACCAAGCUAGUGCUCUCAUGUCAAUAAGCUUUGCUUGGGCCCACCGCAAGCUCUCUCAACCUCUGUGCUUUUCCCAUGGUGCCCCAGGCCUGCCAAGUACAGCUGUGUAAGUUGGGCACAGUGCAAAGGUAUCGCAUUCACACUUCGGGCGUCGCAGAUGUAGGCCAAGAAAUUCUGGUAGAUGGCAGUCAGAUGUCUUGAAGAAGAGAUAUCAUUUUAUCAUUUGUACAAAGAUGCCAUGUGGGAUAGUAGUAAGGCCUUGCUGUUUGCUCUGCCUGGAAUGUCAUCGUUCUUCUUCCCCACCAGGCAGGCUCCUGUCCCACCCCUCAAGGUCCCCUCAAACAUCCCCUCCGCCAUGGCCACACACAC